AACGAACGCUGGCGGCGUGGAUAAGACAUGCAAGUCGGACGACCAUUACGAGGUAGCAAUAUUUCGUGGUGGGAGUGGCGUAAGGGUGCUUAACACGUGGGUAAUCUGCCGUAAAGCCCGGAAUAACUCGCUGAAAGGCGAGCUAAUACCGGAUGUGAUUUCGGAGGGGCCUCUCUCUGAAAUUAAAGCUGGGGACCGCAAGGCCUGGCACUUUACGAUGAGCCCGCGGCCUAUCAGCUAGUUGGCGAGGUAACGGCUCACCAAGGCUUAGACGGGUAGCUGGUCUGAGAGGACGACCAGCCACACUGGAACUGAGACACGGUCCAGACACCUACGGGAGGCAG
rnacentral:rRNA from 1 species